rnacentral:rRNA from 1 species
AGCGAACGCUGGCGGCAGGCCUAAUACAUGCAAGUCGAACGGUCUCUUCGGAGGCAGUGGCGGACGGGUGAGUAACGCGUGGGAACGUGCCCUUUGGUACGGAACAACUGAGGGAAACUUCAGCUAAUACCGUAUGUGCCCCUUCGGGGGAAAGAUUUAUCGCCAUUGGGGCGGCCCGCGUUGGAUUAGCUAGUUGGUGGGGUAAUGGCCCACCAAGGCGACGAUCCAUAGCUGGUCUGAGAGGAUGAUCAGCCACACUGGGACUGAGACACGGCCCAGACUCCUAUGGGAGGCAGCAGUAGGGAAUCUUGCGCAAUGGGCGAAAGCCUGACGCAGCCAUGCCGCGUGAAUGAUGAAGGUCUUAGGGAUUGUAAAUUCUUUCACCGGGGACGAUAAUGACGGUACCGGAGAAGAAGCCCCGGCUAACUUCGUGCCAGCAGCCGCGGUAAU